ACCUGCGGAGGAUCAUUAUUGAAUGAACUUGGCGUGGUUGUUGCUGGCCCUCUCGGGGGCAUGUGCACACCCGCCAUCUCCAUCUCUCCACCUGUGCACCUCUUGUAGACUGGAAUAGACUUUCCGAGGCAACUCGGUCGGGAGGAAUGCUGUCGCUUUGCGUCGGCUUUCUUUGCACUUCCAAGCCUAUGUUUUUCAUAUACCCGUAGUAUGUAACAGAAUGUAUCAUUUGGGCCUCRGUGCCUAUAAACCAUAUACAACUUUCAGCAACGGAUCUCUUGGCUCUCGCAUCGAUGAAGAACGCAGCGAAAUGCGAUAAGUAAUGUGAAUUGCAGAAUUCAGUGAAUCAUCGAAUCUUUGAACGCACCUUGCGCUCCUUGGUAUUCCGAGGAGCAUGCCUGUUUGAGUGUCAUUUAAUUCUCAACCUUAUUAGCUUUUGCUGAUAAUGGCUUGGAUGUGGGGGUUCUCUUUUGCUGGCUUCUUUUCACAGAGGUCAGCUCCCCUGAAAUGCAUUAGCUGGUGCCCCGCGUGGACUGUCUAUUUGGUGUGAUAAUUAUCAACGCCGUGGAUGUCUGCAAUUGGUUUUGGCACUGCUUCUAACUGUCUGUUCAUUUGGACAACACAUGACAAUUUGACCUCAAAUCAGGA
rnacentral:rRNA from 1 species